GCUGCAUGUUAUGUUCUUGAGCAAGACACUUUAUUUCAUGUUGCUCCAGUUCACUCAGCUGUAGAAAUGAGUUGUAACAUCACUGGUGUCAAGCUGUAUCGGUGUUUGCCUUUCCAUUGGAUAGCAUUGGUGGUGUGGAGAGGGGAGACUGGUAUGCACGGGCAACUGUUGGUCUUCCAUAAAUAACCUUGCCUGGACUUGUGCCUCAGAGAGUAACUUUCUAGGUGCAAUCCCAUGGUCAUUCAUGACUGAAGGAGGUCAUGCUCACCCUCACUGUUUCACAAUUUGUAACAUUUCAAUCUUGAUAUUCUUUUAAUGUAAGAUAUAAAUUUCUUGCUUUCUAGCAAGAUGUGGGACAUUUAUCAUUGAAACCCAGCUUCUGUACAUUCUUCUACAUCUAACAUUUGCUGGGUCAGAUUAGUGUGUGCUUUAGGAUUAUAAAACAGGCAGCUGUACAAAUCUUAAGACAAAUGAUUACCUGUGCUCUAGUGGUGAGAUCUUACUGAAAGACAUUACUCAGCUUCAGUAUUCCUGCAAUUCCUUGUUGAGCAUAAAGAAUUAUGUGACUAUGUGUAACAUUAAAAAAGCUAGUUACUUUAUUCAUUUUUGCUCCCAAAAGGUAGCACUUACAACUCUGACACUCUUUCUUGGCCUCUUCUAUGUGUGGUGGUUAUGUGGCAAGAAAUGUUUAAACACAAACUAGAAAUCAAAAUCUAUUGCCUUAGAGGUGGGUAACUUGAUACUUACAAUUUUCUGAGGGGGAUUUAGCUGCUAUUUCUAAAAAUUCAAAUGACUACAGAAGCUACAUGAGUAGCUAUUGUAGGUGUGAGUAAAACAAAAGAUGAGUAUGAGGUGGAAAUGUAAAAAAAGUGAAGAGUCAAAUCAAAAGCUAAUCAGUUAAAUGAAUUGUGAAACUAUAUAAGUUCCAGGUUCAGUUUUAAUAACUAUUUAUAAAUUCUGUUGACACUGAAGUAUUUAUUAUUGCCACCUUGUCAAAAUAUUCCCCACUGAUAUUCUUUCUUUGUUACCUGGAUCUCAUUUCAGCUUUCAUUUUGGAGUGCGACCUGAUAUGCAGUUU
rnacentral:lncRNA from 1 species